GAGGAAAUUAUCUAUACAAAUAAGUAUAGUGCCCUGGAGGACAAAGAAGAAAGAGAGGAGGCACAAGUCACUCAGAAUAAAGAUAAAGGAGAAAAAGAAGUACCAAAGAAAUGAGUGGAGGAAUCGUUUGGUAAACAAAUGAUACCAUGUAAUGAAUAAAGUUGUAGUGAAGUAAAAGAGGUUGAAAAUGAGGAACAAAGGGUAGAAGCACAAAAAUCACAAAGAAAAGAGACAAGCAAAUAAACAGAAAACGCCUAUAAAAAUGAUGCUAAAUCAGGAGAGGGGGAAACUGAAAGUUUGAUGAAAAUAGGUGAGAAAGAAAUGAAGAAGAUAAAGUUUGCGAUGAGGUGAGUUCUAAAGUGAUGGAGACCAUAGGGGAAUCAAGGGAGACUGAAAUACAAGGGACAAGACAAGAUAAUUCAUAAAUUUUUAGUUUGGACUUAAACAAACAUACAGAGGUAGCACAUCAGGAGGAAGGAGAUCAAUAGUAAGGCAACACCUGAAUGAUGACAAGAUAGACAAGGAGGAUGCAGACUUAACACAAUCAGUCAAGGAAGUAAGUGCCACAUGUGAUUUAUAACCAAG
rnacentral:lncRNA from 1 species